GCGUAUGAACGAUCAGGAGAAAGUGAGAGAAGGGGUGCAAGCCCUAAUUCAUGAAAAAUCUUCAAAUUGAAGGGAAAUUAAGCUCAAAUCCGAUGCAUGAACUCGUUUUCUUGAUGAUCUAACCCUAGCAAACAUGUGAAUUGGAACCACACAAGCAUGGACCAAGCAUGGAAGGAUAACGGGUCAAGAUGAGGCAAGGAAGCGGUUACGAGCACGGAUGCACAAGGUAGUACGAAACACGAGGAUCAUCAAGGGAUAGAGAUCAAGGACCGAGUCACAUGAAGGAUUGUACGGGGUGUAUAAGAAUGUAAUUUGUUAUAUAUAAGUUAUGUUUUAUUCUAUAAUUGAGUUAGUUUGAUGUAUUCAAUAUAGAGGAGUUACUAUAAAAGUGAACUUUCAAGUAAGACAUAAGGUUUAUAAUGAAAGAAAUUUUAUGGUA